GUGUGACGAGCUUUAUAAAGAUGUCAUUUUAAUAAAUACAAUUCUCAGUCAAAAAAGGCUUUGUGUUUUUGUUAUUUUAUUGAAUCAAGAACAACUUAUUCCUGUUCAGCACAGAUUCAGCAGAUUCUUUAUAACUACAAACCUUUGAGAAACGCAUCAGCUGUACAAGGAAGACUUCCUGCAGAUGAAGGAUUUGUGUUUGAAGUGAGGGGAAAACACACGUGUUUGUAAUUAGAUUUUAUAAAGUAAGCAAUGAUGAAAAUGUUGCUCUCUGCUCUGCAGGUGUGUGGAUGAAAACACACAGUUGUGUCAUUGAAGUGAACACACACUUGCAAAAGCAACUCUAAAAUGUCACUGAAUCAUGUAUUUACACUCAGCCCUUUUUAGGAUCACUUCAAAAAACUUUUGUUAAAUUUGGUCAUUAAGGUCUGACAGCCUCAGCAACCAGCUGCAGUAUUUAAUACUUAUAAAAAACCUAUGAAGAAUCAUUGUCUAAAUAUCAAUCGUCUUUACACUGUUCCUUUUUUUCUGCCUACAAAGCUAAAAGAUCGACAAUUCUGUCAUUUUUUCAACUGAAAGAACUCAAGGAAACUAUUUGGUUGCAACAUUUGCAACAAGCUUUCCUGGUAUUUCAAGUGUCUUUGAGUUCCAAAAGAGCAAACUAGUCAGAGAGAUUUGCUGAUUUAAAAGGAAGGAGGAUGUAAUUUUUUUUUUUUUUUUUUUUCGUAGGUUUCAGUUAAGUUUUAAGUAGAGUCACACCAGAAUUCCUGCCAUGACAACCUGUUGACAGAUUGCCUGUUAAUAAAUCUGUCAACAGGUAGUCUUAAACAGAAAUGAAUCUAUAGAAGCAGUAAAUGUGAUAAAAGGAUCAGCUUCAGUUUAGGACUUCGGUCCCUAACCCCCAGGCUGUGGACCAGUGCUGCUCCGUGGGACAGUUGGAGCCGCAAAUAAAAAAUAGUUUUGUUUCGAAAAACAACCGGAUUAUCCACCACAUCCGACUUAUUCUUGAUACAUGUCAAGUUGCUUGGUCUGGUGUCAAAAAUCCAUUUGCUUCUUUUUUAAUUUGACUACACCAACCACUAAAUUGAAAUUCCCAAGCUAGCAAAGCUAAAAAAAUAUUUUUCUUGCAGAAAUGAACCAAAGUGAAAACCGAAGACUUCAGAUAAAAAGAAAUCUGCAUUUAA